UACGGAGGGUGCAAGCGUUAUCCGGAUUCACUGGGUUUAAAGGGUGCGUAGGCGGGCAGGUAAGUCAGUGGUGAAAUCCUGGAGCUCAACUCCAGAACUGCCAUUGAUACUAUCUGUCUUGAAUAUUGUGGAGGUAAGCGGAAUAUGUCAUGUAGCGGUGAAAUGCUUAGAUAUGACAUAGAACACCCAUUGCGAAGGCGGCUUACUACGCAUAUAUUGACGCUGAGGCACGAAAGCGUGGGGAUCAAACAGGAUUAGAUACCCUGGUAGUCCACGCCCUAAACGAUGGAUACUCGACAUACGCGAUACACUGUGUGUGUCUGAGCGAAAGCAUUAAGUAUCCCACCUGGGAAGUACGUUCGCAAGAAUGAAACUCAAAGGAAUUGGCGGGGGUCCGCACAAGCGGUGGAGUAUGUGGUUUAAUUCGAUGAUACGCGAGGAACCUUACCUGGGCUAGAAUGCUGGGAGACCGCUAGUGAAAGCUAGUUUUGUAGCAAUACACUGCCAGUAAGGUGCUGCAUGGCCGUCGUCAGCUCGUGCCGUGAGGUGUUGGGUUAAGUCCCGCAACGAGCGCAACCCCUAUCUUUAGUUGCCAACAGGUAAUGCUGGGAACUCUAAAGAAACUGCCGCCGUAAGGUGUGAGGAAGGAGGGGAUGAUGUCAGGUCAUCAUGGCCUUUAUGCCCAGGGCUACACACGUACUACAAUGGGGAAGACAAAGGGCUGCAACAUAGCGAUAUGAAGCCAAUCCCAAAAACUUCCUCUCAGUUCAGAUUGCAGGCUGCAACUCGCCUGCAUGAAGCUGGAAUCGCUAGUAAUCGUAUAUCAGCAAUGAUACGGUGAAUACGUUCCCGGACCU
rnacentral:rRNA from 1 species